rnacentral:rRNA from 1 species
AAAUGGGGAUUACCUUAGUACGGCGAGUGAAGCGGUAAAAGCUCAAAUUUGAAAUCUGGUACUUUCAGUGCCCGAGUUGUAAUUUGUAGAAUUUGUCUUUGAUUAGGUCCUUGUCUAUGUUCCUUGGAACAGGACGUCAUAGAGGGUGAGAAUCCCGUUUGGCGAGGAUACCUUUUCUUUGUAAGACUUUUUCGAAGAGUCGAGUUGUUUGGGAAUGCAGCUCAAAGUGGGUGGUAAAUUCCAUCUAAAGCUAAAUAUUGGCGAGAGACCGAUAGCGAACAAGUACAGUGAUGGAAAGAUGAAAAGAACUUUGAAAAGAGAGUGAAAAAGUACGUGAAAUUGUUGAAAGGGAAGGGCAUUUGAUCAGACAUGGUGUUUUUUGCAUGCACUCGCCUCUCGUGGGCUUGGGCCUCUCAAAAAUUUCACUGGGCCAACAUCAAUUCUGGCAGCAGGAUAAAUCAUUAAGAAUGUAGCUACUUCGGUAGUGUUAUAGCUUUUUGGAAUACUGUUAGCCGGGAUUGAGGACUGCGCUUCGGCAAGGAUGUUGGCAUAAUGGUUAAAUGCCGCCCGUCUUGAAMMMMMGGRAMCAAUAC